rnacentral:rRNA from 1 species
AUUGAACGCUGGCGGCAUGCUUUACACAUGCAAGUCGAACGGUAACAGGCCGCAAGGUGCUGACGAGUGGCGAACGGGUGAGUAAUGUAUAGGAACGUGCCCAGUCGUGGGGGAUAACUGCCCGAAAGAGCAGCUAAUACCGCAUACGACCUGAGGGUGAAAGCGGGGGAUCGCAAGACCUCGCGCGCUUGGAGCGGCUGAUAUCAGAUUAGGUAGUUGGUGAGGUAAGGGCUCACCAAGCCGACGAUCUGUAGCUGGUCUGAGAGGACGACCAGCCACACUGGGACUGAGACACGGCCCAGACUCCUACGGGAGGCAGCAGUGGGGAAUUUUGGACAAUGGGCGCAAGCCUGAUCCAGCCAUGCCGCGUGCGGGAAGAAGGCCUUCGGGUUGUAAACCGCUUUUGUCAGGGAAGAAAAGGUUCUGGCUAAUACCUGGGACUCAUGACGGUACCUGAAGAAUAAGCACCGGCUAACUACGUGCCAGCCGCCGCAGUAA